rnacentral:rRNA from 1 species
UACGGAGGAUGCGAGCGUUAUCCGGAUUUAUUGGGUUUAAAGGGUGCGUAGGCGGGAUGCCAAGUCAGCGGUAAAAAUUCGGGGCUCAACCCCGUCCGGCCGUUGAAACUGGGGGCCUUGAGUGGGCGAGAAGAAGGCGGAAUGCGUGGUGUAGCGGUGAAAUGCAUAGAUAUCACGCAGAACCCCGAUUGCGAAGGCAGCCUUCCGGCGCCCUACUGACGCUGAGGCACGAAAGUGCGGGGAUCGAACAGG